UGUCAGCUCGUGUCGUGAGAUGUUCGGUUAAGUCCGCUAACGAGCGCAACCCUCGCUGUGUGUUAUAUGUGUCACACAGGACUGCUGGUAUUAAGCCGGAGGAAGGUGGGGACGACGUCAAGUCAGCAUGACCUUUAUAUCCAGGGCUACACACACGCUACAAUGGUCAGUACAAUGGGUUGCCAAGCCGCGAGGCGGAGCCAAUCCUAAAAAGCUGGCCUCAGUUCAGAUUGCAGUCUGAAACUCGACUGCAUGAAGUCGGAGUUGCUAGUAAACGCAGGUCAGCUAUACUGCGUUGAAUACGUUCCCGGGGCUU
rnacentral:rRNA from 1 species